rnacentral:rRNA from 1 species
AUUGAACGCUGGCGGCAGGCCUAACACAUGCAAGUCGAACGAGUGGCGGACGGGUGAGUAAUGUCUGGGAAACUGCCUGAUGGAGGGGGAUAACUACUGGAAACGGUAGCUAAUACCGCAUACCAUCAGAUGUGCCCAGAUGGGAUUAGCUGUGUGGGGGGGUAAAGGCUCACCAAGGCGACGAUCCCUAGCUGGUCUGGGAGGAUGACCAGCAAAACGGGAACUGGGACAGGGUCCAGACCCCUACGGGAGGCAGAAGUGGGGAAUAUUGCAAAAGGGGCGCAAGCCUGAUGCAGCCAUGCCGCGGGGAUGAAGAAGGCCUUCGGGUUGUAAAGUCCGUUCAGCGGGGAGGCGUUACCCGCAGAAGAAGCACCGGCUAACUCCGUGCCAGCAGCCGCGGUAAUUC